UACGGGGGGAGCAAGCGUUGUUCGGAUUUACUGGGCGUAAAGGGCGCGUAGGCGGUAGCACAAGUCAGUUGUGAAAUCUCCGGGCUUAACUCGGAAAGGUCAACUGAUACUGUGCGACUAGAGUGCAGAAGGGGCAACUGGAAUUCUCGGUGUAGCGGUGAAAUGCGUAGAUAUCGAGAGGAACGCCUGCGGCGAAGGCGGGUUGCUGGGCUGACACUGACGCUGAGGCGCGAAAGCCAGGGGAGCGAACGGG
rnacentral:rRNA from 1 species